rnacentral:rRNA from 1 species
UACGUAGGGGGCGAGCGUUGUCCGAAGUUACUGGGCGUAAAGCGCGCGUAGGCGGUUUCUUAAGUCUGGGGUGAAAGGUUCAGCGCUCAACGUGAACAGUGCCCUGGAUACUGGGAGACUUGAGUUAGGGAGAGGGUAGUGGAAUUCCUGGUGUAGCGGUGAAAUGCGUAGAUAUCGGGAAGAACAUCGGUGGCGAAAGCGCUCUACUGGACCGCAACUGACACUCAGGGACGAAAGCUAGGGGAGCGAAUGGG